rnacentral:antisense_RNA from 1 species
GGAUCAUGUUUGUUAAAUCUUUUAACCAGAUUUAUUUCUUCUUGCCUAGAGACCAUUAUGCUAAUGCAGCAGGGCUACCAGCCAGUUUCAGAUAAUGAUGUCAACCUCGGCCAUCAAGAAGUAACCUUGUCUCCACUAGACAGAGCAGGUUGCGGGAAUUUAGCCAAUUCAGAGGUCUUGUUCUCCAUAAUCUGGAACUUUCCUUCAGAUUUGAUCAAGUUGGAUAAAGUUGGUCAAACCCAAUGGGAAAAAGAUGAAAACAACAAGAAACAGAAACAAACAACAACAACAACAACAAAACAACAGAAGGUGGGUCAGCCACUAAAUGGUGCUCGGACCUUGCAGCUUGGUGGGAAGGAGGAAGCUUAUUCAAGCAAGGAAGAUGACACAGGCAAAAACCGACGCAUAAGCCAA